CCUCUCAAAUCUGAAAGAGGAGCAGCCGUGGAAGUUCAGAGGGCUGCUGUGCCAUGGUGGCUUGAGGUGGGUGACAAAUGGGGACGUUUCUGGCUCCCCAGGCUCGCUCUUGCUGUGCAGUGUGGUUGCGCAAGCCCUGUUUGUUGCGUGGGGCGCAAGCAGAGUCACCGACAUUCUGCUUUCCAUGGCGAGCACUAAAUGAACCAGCGGGUUGUUUACUCCGGAGGAGACUGAUGUCAACAGAGCUGCCUGGAUGCGCCGUGCUAAUGGCUCCCUCUUAAAACCGGGUCCAGCUGUCGUGGUCAGGCUCAGCUUUGAUCCGCUGUCCUGGGGGGGAUCUUGAGGGGGGAGCUCAGGCUGAUGCUGAGCUCUGGGGGUUUUGGCGAGGAGCUUUUUGUGCUCUCAUCCAGAGCAAAACCUAAUUGUGCCCUUUCCUUUGGGGACACCAGAAAUAAGAUAUAGGUCAAAACCUGCACGCUGCAUCCCUGACCCCGUCCUGUCCUCAUGCGUUUCCCUUUGACCUUGCAGAGCUGGAAUUAUCCGCCAAAAAGAAACCGAAGCGGCUCCUGAAAUCCCUGGAGGCCUACGUGAACCAAAGCCCCGCAGCUGACGGCCUUCAGCAACCGUCCUCUCCCUCCGCCUCCCUCGGCCAGGAGAUCCACUUCACAGGCGUUUGUGACCUGCAGGUUGAGCUGGAAGGAGAAGCCCGACUGAUCUGAAGGGCGCCGCGGGGAGCUCGGCUGGCGGAGGACGCGUGGCCGCCACCUGUGCUUCGGCUUCGGGGACUCAGGAAGGGCCCUGCAGGUCGCGCCCUGGGGACAAGCUGAGAGUGGUAACAGCGGCCACGGGCCUGAUGUGAGCGUCAGUGGGUGCUUGGAAAAGCUCCAAAAACAUCUUCAGCCCUCAAAUGAGGGGAACAAAAAAUAAAAAACAAAGAAAGACCAAAUUCCGGAGCUCAAAGGUGUGUUGGAACGAGAGACGCGAGGAGCUGGUGGUGCGGAACAGCCCUGCCCGCUGCCCGCUGCCCUUACCCUCCACAAUCACCUUCCGGCUGAUGGGCCCGGAAAACGCUGCCCCGGGCUGAAAAAAUAUCAAUGAAGGGCAAAAAGGA